ensembl:lncRNA
UAUAAUAAUUUCCUCUGAUCAUUUCCAGGCAGAACUUUGUCACCCACUCCCUCUUUCUACAAAUCUCUUGUCUAUAUGUACUACCGGACAAUAAAGUAUAAAUGCAAAUUAAAAAUGUAUUAACAAAUUCAGUAAAUAAACAAUUAACAUGUUUCAUCACAGACAUUUGAAAAUGGGUAUACAUCAUGUCUGCUAAAAUUAUGAAAACACAUUAUCUCACAGAGUAUCCUGUUGAUAUAAAAAGGGUGUCGCAGCCAAAUCUUCUGUACAUGUGUACGUGUUAAGUUGUAUAUUAUAUUGUAUAUAUAUAAAAAAGUACCUUGAUAUAUCUUUUGGCUAGGUAUCUGUGCAAGACUUUCACCUUUCCCAUGUUCCAACCACGAGCAUGAAGCGUUAUCAUGUCGGUGCGUCCUGAAAGACAGUUUUACUCUUUAGGAAUUUACUUGGAACAGAGAACGAGCCACAAAUUGAAGAUCUUUAAAUCUGUUACUCACUUGCUUUUUUCAUGUAUUUGGUGGUAGUCGCUACACGUGAGAGGUAAGAAUUUACCAUUUCCACUUCCUCACCAACUGUCAGACCUAAAGAAAUGUAUUACAUUCCUGAAUAGCCUCAUACUAAAUGCAAAUCGUUGGUUGUUAAUUGAACUCUAAUAUCUUCCAUGAAUAUCUUUUUUUUAAUUGCUGUGCAGAUUCAUUACCCCUAGGAUAAACUCUGUUUGUAACCCCAUGACCAGUGCCACCAUCAGGCCAAAUAUUCAAUUUUAGAAUGAAUGUAUCCCAAGUUCAUCUCCUGAUCCGAUUCCCACCAAAUAUGUUUGCCUUUCCAUAGCAAGGAGGUCGUUGCAGUUAUGAGUCAUCUGGCCUCAUGGUUGAGCCUCAUGCUGGCACAAACUAAAAACAUGAACUACCCAUUACAGCUCAUAUUAGAUGCAUGUUCAUAGAACAUGGACUGAGAAUUUGUGCUAUUUGAAGAUAGUCCCCCUGCAGCCAGCGUGACUAGUGAUCAUUUUAAAUGAUACCUGAAUACUAAGCAUUCUUUUUUUAUUAUUAUUACAGUAAAAAUGUCAUCACACCCUACCUGCCCCCUUCUGGUUGCGACCACUCCACUCAACCUGCCAAGAAUCAAAAAUAAAUAGAAUUAAGUCAUGAAAAUAUACCUUGUACCAGUUACCAUCAUAAACAUUACAAUUUGAUUUAUACCUCACAUCUCGUUGAGUGACCUUUCGCAUGCAUCACGGAUAAAAAUGGUCGCAUCUGCAGGACAUACUGCAGCUCUGGAAAUUUCUCAACUACCCUCUGCACAUAUGGGUAGUAUUUACACAUAACGUCUGUGCAAACAAACUCUAUCUUGUGUUUU